UAUUCUCCAUCUUUUUUUAUUCGUUAUUUUUAUAAAACUGCGACGUUCAGUUUAUUCAGUCAGGAUUUAAAAACUACAAAAGCUAAAAUAAGUUUUUAAAAUCAGGAAGUUAUGGAAAGAGUCAUUUUGAGAGAAAAUGGCCGCCUAUCAAUUAACCAAUAAUCAAUAACUUUGUGCAGCUGAACAUGGAGGAUCCCUGCAUCAUCUGCCACGAGGACAUGAGUCCGGAAGACGCCUGCGUGUUGGAGUGUCGGCACAGUUACCACGACCAGUGCAUCCGGUCCUGGCUGAAGGAGAAGAACACCUGUCCCACCUGCAGGACCCACGCGCUGCUGCCYGACGACUUCCCCGCUCUGUCCACCAGGAGGCGCCAGGCCCCCUGAUGCUGCUUUUACCUCAUUUUUUACUUUUUUAUUUAAAUUGUUGAUUUUAUUGACAUUUAAAACCUGAGAAAAUAAAGAAACUCGGUGUUGGAGCUYGUCUGACRAAUA